AUAAUUUAAAGCGUCUAUAGCCAAUUUUUAUUAUUGUAAUUGAGUUUAAUGAUUUAUUUGAUAUUUACUUCUGUUAAUCAAUACUAAGUGGUUUUAUUGCAACAGGAUUAUAAAGAGUAUCAAAACAAAAACGCUGGCAAUUGCCAGCGUUUGAUUGUGCUA
rnacentral:misc_RNA from 1 species